rnacentral:rRNA from 1 species
UACGUAGGCAGCGAGCGUUGUUCGGAGUUACUGGGCGUAAAGAGUGCGUAGGCGGUCCUGUAGGUUUGGUGUGAAAUCUCCCGGCUUAACUGUGAGCGUGCGGUCGAUACGGGCAGACUAGAGUACUGCAGGGGAGACUGGAAUUCCUGGUGUAGCGGUGGAAUGCGCAGAUAUCAGGAGGAACACCGGUGGCGAAGGCGGGUCUCUGGGCAGUAACUGACACUGAGGAGCGAAAGCGUGGGGAGCGAACAGG